rnacentral:lncRNA from 1 species
GUAGAAGGUGGAGUUGAGCAGCUCUUCCAGCCUGCGCGGGACGUCGUUCUCCCGGUAGUACUCCAUCGCCUGCUGCUUCAGCUUCUGCAGCUCCCUAGUGGUCCCACAGCUGCGGCCGCCGCCUUCUUCCCCCAUGGUAGGAGAUUUGAGGCUACAGCUGGGGUUAGCCUGGGGGCCCGCGAGCGUCCUGUCCGUCGCUAGGCAACGCAAUGAGAUUUCCCGACCCCAGAUCUCGCGUGGCUUCUCGCCCGGGUUCUUGCCGCGGUCUUGGGUGCGCAUGGCUCCUCCCGUGCUCCUCCCUCCUCUUCCUGAGGGAUUGGGCCUGGGGCUCCUCCACUCCUGACGCUCGCGCAGUGGCGGCGUCGUUUCCCACCACUUUCCCCGACACUUUUCCUGAUGGGGAAAGAGUUCACGAUUUCUGCGGAGGCGUGGGAGCGUUAGUCCCGGCCUCCCGCGGGGGACCGGAGCCUCGGGUGGCGCGCUCUGGGCACCGGGCCUUCUUGCUUACCCUUCCCCCCCCGCCCCCGCACACUCCCUCGUCCCUCGCGGUGGGUGAGCUCCUCCGGGUGGCGCGGGCACACCUUGCCAGCCCACUCCUGGGGACGGUUAUAUCCUCGCUGGCCCGUGGAGGUGCCAGGAAUUCAUUCAUUCGCCCGUAUUUAGCCGCCUGUCCCGAGGCCAGCAGCGUGCUGGCCGGACACACUGGUGCGCAGGAGAGAACCGGAUACGCGAUCCCACCCCCUGUCCCCCUGCCCCUCCGCUGGCAAAUGAGUGGGGUGAAAUCACUGGAAGGGAAAACCAGUGUGGGCCGAAAAAAAUCGGGGUAAACCCCGAAUGGUUAUGGCUUGGACAGGCCUAGGGGUGAGGAACGAUACAGGCAAAACUUGAGAAGGAAAAGUGGGACUGUAAGACUGGCACUGGGUCAUGUACCUUCUCCAGUACCUUCAGAGGCUGCCUCAGUCCUGCCCUUUUAAAUCCAACUGCCUACUUGGCUUCCUUACACCUGCCGGGUGUCAGUGCAAUUAUAGAACUUCUUGUGCCUUCUGCUCUAGGUACUUAGGUGGGAGUGGGCCGACACGGGCAGGUGUUCUUGUUCUACUCUUAACCUAUAAGUGUUCCUGACUUAAGUAGAUCGCUUAAAACAUCUCUGUUGUAUUUGGCUUUUCUGGAAAACAGUCCGGUCUAUUCUGCCUGCUUCACAAGUCCCUUAGGAUAAAAUGAGAAAGUGAGUGAGAAAACACUUUAAAAUAAGAUAUUUUCAAUAGAGGCAGGUAGAUGUAUAAAAAUAUGUGAUUCUAUAAAACUGAUACAGAAACCCAGACAUGUACCUCCUUCUGAGCUCCCUCAGUGUUGUCUCCAAAUCUCUGAUGGAACAUCUCACUUGCUGGGAUGUGACAUCAUCAUGGGCCUGCCUUAUCCUCCUUGCUAGAUGGAAAUCCCUUCAUGGUAGUAGCCUGGUAUUAGUACUCUUCACAUGCCCCUCAGAGCCCGGGCCUGCAGGGACAGAACGUGUGCUCUGCUGAAUAAGUGUUGAAUGAACCUUUAUACGAAAUAAGCCCGUGCUCUUGCUGCUGGUGUUUCCAUCCCACCCCUGCGCCUCUCCUCCUAUCCCCAUGGAUGGAAGGCACCCCUUUCUCUGGGACGCCCAUCCUUCAAUGCCCGGCUGACUCCCACAUCUGCAGAGACGUGGUGCUCCACAUCAGCUCUCCUCGCUCAGCCCUCCCUUCUGAACUCCUUUCCCACUUGAAGUCUGGGCCACAAAGCUCAGCCUUCAGGGAUGUCUCGACUCAUUUGACACUUAAAUGGAAGGUUGGAAGUGCCCUGGGCUGGGACCACCAUCUUUUGGAGUCUCCCCUCUGUAACCCACCAGCCUCUAGAUUCCAUGAGGACAGAGACUUGGUCUGUCUUGUUCACCAUGGUGUCCCCAGUACAUUACUUUACAGAUCUUUGCUCAGUAAAUAGGUGUUGAGUGAAUGAGUGGAUUUUACAUAUAAUAAAUGCCUAAUAAAUACUUAAAAUGUUUUGGAGUUGAGUGAAUAAUGAAUACACUAGGCUGGCUAGAGCAAAGGAUUGUUUUCAGUAAUAAAGAGACAGGAUAGAAAAGUAGCAUGGGCAGGAUGGAAAUGGUGUUUUAGGAAGUUAGCUGGCAGCAAUGGGUAAGCUUGGAGGGUGUUAGUUGUACAGAAAGCAGGAGACACAGGUAGAAAAUGAUGCAGAUGUGAGGGCCUAAAGCCCACUGAUAGCACUGGCAAGAGGUGGAUGACAGAGUUAAUAGGAAGAAGGAUGGGAAUCAUGGUGAGUGACUGGAUGUGGGAUUGGGGGACCAAAGAUUAUGCCUUUGAGGAUGGCUCCUAGAGUUCUGUUACAGUUGAUAGAAAUGGGGUGGAUAAGUGAGUGAUGUGGUUUUGAUGGAAGGAAUAGGGUGCAUCUGGUUUUAGAUGUGUGGGGCUUGUGGAGCAUUGGUAUCUCAGAGAGAAGGGAAGACUGACGAUAUGAAGAUCACCCAUCCACAUGGCACUUAAAGUUGAAAUAAGGAUAGAUGAAUCUUCUGGAGGGAAAAGGGAAAAAUCCUAUAGAAGCAAGGACCUAAAUAUUGGGGAAGAAAUAUAUUUAGGACAUAGGAGGAGGAUAAGGUGCUCUAAGAGGCAGUGAGCCAAAAAAGAAAAAAAAAAAAAGCUUAGGGAAAAAAGAAAACAAUCUAAUGGAGUUUAAGACAGAGUGUUUUUGGAAUGUGUCAGAUGUGCGUGUGUACAUAUGCGUAAGAAUAAAUUCUGAAAGAAUAUACAUUGGCAUAUUAAGUGUAUUGUCUUUGGGUAAUGGGAUCAUUGGGAAUGUUAAUUUUCUUUAUUAGUAGUAUCUGAUUUUUCUAAAAUGAAUGUACUACUUGUAUAACUUUGAAAAAUUACAUUAAGAUAUUUGAAGGAAUAACAUUAAGUCAAAUUAAAGACUGAAAUUAAAGGAGAAUGAAAGACUGAAAAGAUAUUAGGGAGUCAGUUGUUCCUUUAUAGAAUCUUGCCAUCCUCUUAAAAAUAAAACUACAUGUAGGCUAAAUAAAUAGCUAAAUCUACCAUCCCUGUUAACUUCUGUCAUUCACUCAAUCAAUAAAUAUUUAUUGAAUGCCUACCAUGUGGCAGAGACUAGACACUAGGAAAACAGCAGUGAACAAAAUAGGUAACAUUUCUUCCCUUCACGGCACUUAAGUUCUUGUGGGCCUUGAUCCUAGCACUUACAUCCUGCUGAGCUAUCAGGACAAUAAACUGCAUUAAGAGACGUGAAAGCAUUUUGAAAAGUUGGUAUGCUAGGCGUUUAUUAACAUUCUAUUAGUGUUGACAGAUCCAGAGUAAAUAAAAUGACUAUUCAUGAAUAUUCCAAUUUUCUGAUUUUUUAUAGAUGUUAGAAGUACUGGGGUUUUAGCUGUAAACUACAUUCACGUGUAUGCGUAUUGUAUACAUACUUAGCACAUUCCUUGUUUUAGUACCUUGGUAACUAUAUUUCCAUUUCAUAUUGAGACUAAAUGUCCAAGGGCACUCAGAGAACAUCAGAGCUUGAAAGGCAUUGAAUGCAGCUAACUCUAAGGGUAAAAACAGGGGAGUUGAAAGGAGGAAAAGAAGGGAAAGAAAGGGAAAGGAAAGACUCAGGAGAUAAGGAAAAUUCUGGAAGAUAUCCAGGGACAGAGGGUAGGACUAUACCCUCUUCCUUUAGAGAGAGGACACCGCCAUGACUAUUGACAUCCCACAGAUGGGGUGCCCGCAGUGGAUGGGUGUGGUAGGGGACAAGGGACAUUUGGGAAUUAGAAGACAGAUUGGAGUCCCAGCUGUUCCCAAGAUCUAGACCUCAUCAAUAAAAUGAGUGGCUGGUCUAGAUCAGUGUUGCCUAAACUUUUUGAGUAUGAAGACUCCUUUUUAACAACCAAAAAAAUGGAAGAAACUACCCCCCCCCCGCCAUGUAACAGUGGUUAUAUACAGUGACUAUGAAUUCAGUAGUAUGUCUGGAGCAUAUGUGUUUCAUUCACAUAACCUCCAUACAUGUGACAAAGAAUACAUUUAUAGGCAAGCUGCUCUCCAGGUCGGGCAUGUGUCUGGUGCAUAUUUGGAAUUGUGAGCUCUUUGCCUAUAGUAUGGGGGCUUCUCGGGGACCUUGACUGAGAGCCAUUGAAUCAGGUCUCUUCAUCUUAGACGUCUCCUAUUUUGUAGCUUUGAUUCAAGAUAAAAUAUCAGGGCAUACCAGUCUAGUCCUAUCUGCUAAAUGAAGACCCUUCAUGGAGGAGAUUAAUCAUGCUUCAGUCUGCAUUUGAAAAAGAAUUUCUAAGCUAUGUCAGACAUUUCCUAAAUGAAUGAGGAUAAAGAAAAACAUAUUUGUUCAUUUCCCCCUAAUCCUUUCUAACACCUUUCUAUAAAUUGGAACUUGUUUGCCAUGACUUUCAUGUUCAGAAGUGAUUAUUUAGGUGUUAUUUUGGGGUUGCUAUCAAGUGCCUGUUAAUUCUUGCCUGCAUUUGCCAUCUGUGUUGAAUAUCAUUUUUCAUAGGGAACUAAUGAACAUGAUUGCAGGUGUCUUUAAUCUUUAGAAUCCUAGAAACUGGAGAGAGAAUAGAUGGAAAUGUUGCCUUUUCCCCAUCUAAAGAUGGGAGUGAUAAUGUUACCCCUCCUGGCCCAGUUGUCAGGAAUGAGGGUUGCCAAGCUAAUUGCAAUAUAAAUAGCUAUAAAUUAAAUGCGAAGGAAUAAAAGUAGGAAUGAUUAGACUAAUAAUAAAAUGUUUUUGUAAUUUGAUUUUUUUCACUACCAAUGUCUCCUGGCAAUAGUCAUUACCUCUGGGCUAGUAAUAGCAACAAAAACCCGGGCAGCAACUACCAUUGAUGGAGAACUUUUAUAUGCCUGAGGUUUUCCUUACAUCAUCCCAUUGAAUUCUGCAACACAACCACAAGAGGUAAGGGGUUGGCCCAAGGUGAUACAGUAAGCAAAUAGUGGAGAUGGAAUUUGAACCAGCUGACCCCAGUGCCCAUGCAUUUCCCGCUGCGCUCUGCUGCCUCUCAAAUCUAGAAUCUCGGUAGUUAGAUUCCACGGUCUCAUGUCAGCAAUUGUUAGGCUCUUGGCCAUCCUUUCUGGAUAAGCCAGUUGAGCUGCUCACAUUGAGGGCAUGGAGAAAGGAGUCUGGGAAAAUGGUGUUAAUCUCUUGAUCACUGGCUCUCAAUCUGAGCUGCAUAUUAGAAUCAUGUGGGGAUUCUACCAAAUUCUGGUAACAUCUGAACACUGUUAGAAUCUAAGCCCCUUGAAGAAGAGGGGUAUCUAUUCCCUGCUGUAGUAUUAAAAAACACUGAUGCCUAGGCCCUACCCCAGACUUAUUAAAUUAGAAUCUCCAGGGGUGGGGCCCACACAGAGGAAUUUUUUUUAUAUGGGAUAUUAAUGUGCAGCUAAGGUUGAGAACCUCUGCCCUAAAAUAUUUCUUCAGGGAUCAUGUUAGAGAAUGGGUAAAGCUUCACCCAGGGAAAAUUUGAUAGUGGAUACAGCCAAGAAGGCCUAGAAGUGUUGGGCCUUGGAACCAGACCACACGGGUCAGAGUCCGGUUCUUCCAUUCCCAGCUGUGUGUCCUUGUACAAGAUACUUAACCUCUCUGAGCCCAUUUCCUCAUCAACUAAUAUUUUCAAUUUCAUAGGAUUGCUAUGAGAUUAAAUUGGAAAAUCCACGGAGCCUUCUUCCCACCAUGCCCAAUACAUAGUAAAUGAUGUCAUUAUUGCCAAAGAAAUUAAGGAGAAGGAAAAUAACAUUUUUAGCAGUUUUACUAUAUUUGUCUGAAAACCUUUAUUUGACUUUGUACAGGAAUUCAGGUGGAAUUGAAUUAAAUGAUAAGGGGAACCCCCCCUCUUAAAACAAUAUUAAUGACAUUUUGAGAUAAUCAGACCUCCUGGUAAUCUAUCACUUUUGUUUUAACCUUUACCAUUUGUGCAAAAUUAUAGAGUUGAUGUGUUAUUUCUCUCUUGUUUCCCAAAUAAAGCAGAAAGCCGGAGCCACGGUUGCAAUGUGAGUGUUCAAAGCUGGCAUCCUGUCAAAGACUGUAUUAGAUUUAGCCUUCCGGUCAUUUGUUCAGAGGGCUUUGACACCGAAGACCAAAAGAUACUGUUGGAGAUGUUAUUGCUGGCAGUUUAAUUGGUAUUUUUCAGGAUAUAGACACACAAUUUCUAUAUAGGAAGAAUUAAAUUGGAAGUAGGGCAAUUAUCCAGUGAGUUUAGACAGUAAAAAGAAAGAGGAAAAAUGAGGCAAAAGAAACUCUUCAAGUAAGCUAUUUUGCCAUUUUAAAGUAGAUACUUUUUUAACUUUGUAGAAAUAGAGACAACUUAAGAGUAUUUCUGUGACAUAAUUAAGGGGCUAAUAAAGCAAAAUGAAUACAUAUAAAAUAUUCUACAAAGGCCAGGUUUUCUAAUUUGUACUUCUCUUAAUAUAAAAGUAGCAACAUAAAUAUAGUAAUUGCAUUUACUUUGAAUGAGGAAAAUGUUAAGCAUCUUUCCCACAUAGGGGGCAGCAAAGAAGAAAGAGAGGAGAAAUCCCAGUUAAGAGGACCAGUUAGAUGUUUUAUCUAGUUACGUCUGAAAAUGUUUUCUCUGUAACUGCUGCAAACAUUGAUCUGGUCUGUUUCCCAGCCUCUGAGAGUCGUGUGUCCACCUAUUUUGUUAUUGUGCUUGAGUGAGAGCCAGUAAAUUGUUUGACUUUUGUAAUUAAACUUAAGAACUUGAUUGAAGGGGAUUUUAGCUUCCCUGAAAAUGUACUUUAAGUUAAUCUGCUUAAGAGGAAUUAUCUAUUUCUUAUUAGCAAAAUCAAAACACUCUAUGCCUUUAUAACUGAUGAUUUCUACUGGCCUGGUCAUGAAUCUCAUGGUAACGUUAAGUUGUCAAAUAUUAUUUGGGGGAUUUAAAAAAUUCAGUUGUCAAAAAUUUAGGACUUGAUUCUUGACAUUUUCUUAUUGGCAAAAUGAAGGGUCAUUGGUGGUGUUUGCUCUUUUUCUAACUUGAUUUACCUUUUGUUGUUUGUUUCAUUUAAGACAUUUGAAACUUUGUGUUCCUUGACUAUUUUUAAAAAUUGUAGUCAUAGAUGCAGAUGAGAAUGUUUUCUUUCGGGGGAGUAAAUUUGGAGAGGAAGUUCCCAGGCGUUUUUAGCAAAUAAAAUCAUCUUAGGCAAAUUUCUCAGUAUGAUUUGAUUUAAUUGCAUCUUUUUUACAUAUGACAAUCAUUUAUAAGUAUCAUUGGAGCCCUACACAGUUCCAGAAUUAUUUAAGGUGACAUUUGUGAAUGAAUCUCUAAUGCCAAUCUAAUGUGUUAGAUUAAAUUUCUGUACAAUUAAAAAAUACACAGAAUUGUAUGUUAGCAAGGAAUAAGGGGUCCUGCUUUUAAUUAAAUACCAUUAUUAUAUUUUGUGUUUGGGCAUCCAAAAUCUUAGGUAGAUAUUGCAGAAAUAAGAGCAGUAAUGGUCAGAAUUCGCUUCUCAGAAGAAUAAUGUUUCCAUUAAUACUUAAGGAGAGAUCUGGUCAGGAUGAAAGACUAAAAUGUUAUUUCUGAAAUGGAAAUACUUUUAAAAUGUUUUUAAUGAUGCCUGUCUUCUGCUUGGGCUACAGUCAGCAUAACCAGAUUUAAAUGCUGUAGUUUGGAGAGAGGAAGGGAAAGGAAAGUAGGAGAGAAUUUAAGACAGUCGUGUUCAGACAGGAAUAAAGAAUGAUCGGUAUUAAGAUGGUUUUGUGUGACAGCACUUUCACUUGAAAUAAAUAGUUGAGGCAAACUGAGGUGGGAAGAGAAGUAUCUGGGGGCCUGCCCUGGUCUCCACUUCUUUUUGUGUGCACAGAAAUACAGCCAAGUGUAGCCCACAUGGGUAACCGAAGGUCCGCCCUCUGCCACUGCCCUUUCGGGAACUGGCCAGACUCCUUAAAGGAGCUGAGAGGCCCUUGUUCAACAGCUGCUGUUAGACUGUUGUAAAAAUUGGAGUUGGUUUGUGAACAACCAGGUGAUUUAAAAUAUCCCCGAGCCAUCCUAGGUAACCUUCUUCCCCAAAGUUCAUGGCCAAAUAUUUGCACUCAUAAUAAUUACACAAAUAUUGCCUUGGAAUCUUUAUGGGAAUUUGAAAAGAGAGGAGACCAUGUAACAAACUCAUGAGGCGGGGCAUUUUAUAGCAAAGAGUGUCUCAGUUAACCUCAGUUAGGUAUCUGUGCCUUCUAAAGAAUUUUUCUCCUUCUGCAGUAUUAAAAGUAGAGUUCCUGUAAAAUUAUUCUAUGCCCACACUUGUUGGAAUGUUUAUUAACGUGCGUAUCUGACCUAAACUUUGGUUUCCUAAUCAUUAAAUGCUUUCUUUUUUCUUGCUAGCCAAGCUGACAGUAUAUAAGGGGAAAGUAAGGCCUGUGUGCUGAUUUUAAGAAUACAAAAUCAAAGACUGUCUUUUACAGGGCAAGAAUCAAAGACUAUGUUUUGUAGAGUAAGAACAAAAACAACUUUUAAAGUAUGAUAUUUGAAAUAACUAAAAUGUGUGUUUAUCAAUUUAAAUGCUUUAGAAUAGAUGUUGUCCUAUGUAUGGUUAUUUAUUACUUUAUUGAAAAUCUAGGCAUUGUGAAUUCUUAACUAAGACCACUGGAAAAAAAAUCUGUUCAGUUAAUAUAUUUUUUUGUACAUUUCUUAUAAACCUGUUGUUGGAAAACAGUUGUCUUUUUUUGAGAUAAUUAUAAAUCUGCAAAAGCAGGAAAUGUAAUCAAAAUGAAGAAUUCAAAAUUUCAAGAUCUUUUUAAUUUGUAUUUGCGAUAGACUUUAUUUCCAAGUAUUAUUUGUUAUAUGAGAAUAGAAGGAAUCACCAAAUGUUUUUUUUUUAAUUAAAAAUAAUCAUUUUUACCUUCCCUUGUAUGUAUUGUCUACAUUUGAUUUGAACUCACUAGGGGCAUGCCUUGAACCUUUCAUAUUCUUUCCAAGCCCUAGUGCUAAGAAACACACACACACACACACACACACACACACACACACACACACACACACCCUUGUAUCCUCUAGGGUGAAGGCUUAACUGUCACAUCAGGACCAGCUCCUAUGAUCAUGGCAUUUAUGAGCAACUCACCUUGCUCUCCAAAUUUGGACUUCAGGAGAUACACCUCAUGCCAGCCUAGCUCCUCUAUUUUUCACAAGAUAUGCAGGUAAAGAUGUAGGGUUUUUAAUGGUCGGCAUCUUCCAACUAGUCCUUUGGGCCGGGCAUACUUGUUGACUACUCAAGUGCAUCUUGCUCAGUUGGAUAUUUUAAAAUACGCUGAACUCUGGAAGGGGGCUGUGAUCCCGUGUCACACAAACUGGAGAGAGAAACAGGAUGGUAACACUUCUUUGGCUACUGAGUGCUUUCUGACUUUUGAAAGAAAGGAAACUUUGCAGUAUGCAAUUCUAAGAAAAUUGUAAGAAACAAAGUAGAACCAAGCUCCUCGCGGGGGAGGGGAGUGAAGCCUGUGCUUGCCUUAGCUUCUGUGUUGUCUGACUCCCUCACAAAUGCUGCAGCUGCAAUGUUGAUUGAGAAGGAGCCCAUGCAUUCUGCCGAGGGAUGAAAUACUAAAAUCUUUUUCUUCCCUUAGUGAGUGGUUCUAUCUUAAUUCAGAAGCUAUAAAGCAAAUUUUAAAUUGGUAUUAUUUUCUAACUGGGAAGUAAGUACAACUUGUAUCUGGAGUACAAACAUUGCAACAGGUACUAUUGCCCAUGAGCUUGAUGUUAACUUUUUGCGUGAGUAUAAAGGAUCUUAACAGUUCUCUGCGUUAAGUGGAUAUAUGUCAGUAGCAAACGUAAAUGCGAAAUAAAGGGCUCGGGUUGAAAUGUCUGUGGCAAUGUACAAAUCUGAUUAUGAAGAAUGUCAACGAUUACCCUAGAGAACAAUCACAGUUUAGCCCGGGGUAUAAUUCUCAUCGCUCUGUGUACAUUUCAUCACUUAGUUGUGCACAGGCACAGGAAAUGAUGCAUUUUAAAAUGCAUUCUUUUAUUUUUAAACACCUGCCCAACAUCUUGACCAAUCCUUUUUAGUCUGAGGCUCAAAAGCAUGUAACCCAAAGUUAAUUUCUACCUUGUGAAGUCAGGUGGUUUCAAAUGUGCUGCAAAGAUCCACAUGAGCAAUAAAAUGUGAAUCCCCGUUUCGUUGUCUCUGAACUUUGGAAUUCUAUUCAGACCUCUUGCAUCAUGUGCAAGUAUAUGAGAGGGGAGGAUACAAAAGUGAAACCAGUCCUGUGGCUGUUGUCAGAUUUGACGUUCGUCUCACGGAAGAUGGAUGUGCUUGCUUGACUUGCUUUUCUCUUCUUCACAUGUUCUUUUCCCCCCUCCAGAAAUGUGGAGCAUACUCUGGGGGUUCAUGUGGAGGACACCGGCCACCACCUUCCCAUACCCCCCACCACGAGGGCCACCUUCCCUGCAUUCCUGCUUCCUAAGCCAUCUUUUGCAAGGGGGUUUGGGACUCUAGCCCCACAGUCCAGGCUCUCCUAGUCGUGGCUGCAGGGACUUCACUCACCCUGCCCUUACUCUGUCUUGACCGCCUGUCCCAUAGGCCAAGCUGUUAGAAAUAACCAUGUGGUCAUAUUUGCUGCUUAUUUGUUUCCAUUACAGGAAUCAUCAUAAUAGAUAAGGAAAUCAUAGAGCCAGCAAAACUUUUGGGCCACUUAGUUCCAUGCCUUCAUUUUACACACACACACACACACACACACACACACACACACACACACAAAUAGAAAAAAACUAGUUGUUGGUAAAAGGCAGUCAACAUAAUUCUUCUAUUCAGGAAUCAGUUUAUUUAAUGGGUGAUUUUUUUUUUAUUCGCUUCAUUAUGGAUAAAGGAAAGAUAGAGUAAAAGAUAAAAGCUACUUCUAUUAUGUGCAGUAUAUUUUGGUAUCUAUCAUAUGUGUAAUUGCCCCAACUGAAUAUCAGACAUAUUCUGACAAUAUUAAAAGAUGUAAAAAUCUAAAAUCCCAAAUUCCUAAAUUCCAAGAAGAAAGUGCUUCACUAUUUACAGUAAUGGAACUUGUAGCCUGAUCUUUGAGGGGGUUAGCUGUAAAAAUUCUGCAGCUUUCUUCAGAUGUAUAAUUUUAAAUGUCCUUUUUUUUUUUUGUAGCUGCCUUCUCUGUACUCGAGUUUGUCAAGUAAGCAGGCAGAUGUUUUUGCCUUUUUAUAAAGUACAGUAAUAAGCAUGUCUACUGCCCUUACUUCAUCAGCUUCAAAACCUAUUCACGGCUCAUCUGGUUGGAAGAUGAUUCACCUGAAGCUUUGUUCCCGAAUUAGUAAUGCGGCAGCAUCUCAUUUAGCAAGUGGUGCUUCCCACCACUUAGGGGGAAGAAAGUUUCUCUCUCUCAUUCAGAUACAGACUCAGGCUUUCACCUGUCAGAGAAAAUGAAACCGUCACUAACCACUGUUUAUUUUGCUGGCAGGUUCAUGCCUACGACAAAGCGAUUUUUCUCCAGGUGAAUUACUCCCCACAUUGGCGUGGCAGUGACUAAUAAAGUAUUUAUCAAAACUCAGGCGUGUGGUCCCCGUUCCCACAGUGUGUCACUGCUGCCGCCAAGUGACAGGUCUGAAAAACAAUCAGCAAAUCUUAGACAAUUAGAGCAUCGAUCCCACUUAGCAAAACCAAGGCCCCCAGUCCCUACUCGACAAAGAUUCCUUCUUCUUAGGUGAUGGGAAUGAAGAUGCUCUCCUAAAUCACACUUGACCCACGUAGCCUUCCCUCCGAAUUCGGGGCUCUGAGAAAAGAAUGGCACAGGGAUUGAGAAAACAGUGGCUGUCCCUGAACGUACUCUAAUUCUAGGGUCCAGGAGUUUUUAGUUCAGCUUGGUCAGUUGUCCCCAGUCACACACUAAAUCAUACUGUGAUAAAGGAAGGAGAAGUCUCUGUCUUAAAACUCAAUUAGACACACCAAGAACUCACAACUCUCGCAACCCAAGAGUGCUUGGUGACAUAUGCAAAGACCCUUCUCUCGAGCAACCUCAUUCUUGAACUGGGCUAAGAGCUUUUCAAUUGCUGUGACAUUUUCAGCCAAGGAAGGAGUAGUUGCUGCGGAGCAAUGUUUUACAGGCAAUUACUUUAUAUUAUCAACGGAGCAAUUCCCUGUCCAGAAAGGAACCAAAGCGAUCAAGUUAAAUCAUUAAAGAGAGAAAGAGCAAGUGGGGAGAAAGGAUUCAUCUCAUUAGCAGGUGCCGGUGCCGCAGGCUCCAAGGCGCACAAUGUCACUGGCCCUUUAAGACAAUGGCUGCGCUCCCUCCGCCACCCCCUCCCCUGGAGCUGUUGACAGGUCUAAACCUCCCUAGCAGCCCAUUGUGGCCACAGUAGGAGGCACCUGCAGAAAAUGUGCCAAAACCAGGCAGGGAGCAAGAGCUUUUCAAUAAGCUCCCCAGCUGGAGAGGAGAAGCAACACUAAACAAGCGGGCGCAGACCAGGCAUGUGAUGGGAAAAGGGGUCAAAACCAGACACCUCCUAUCGGCUUUCUGAGCUUUCUGAGCACCGUUCCCUUCAAUUUGCUGACAUCUUCUAGCUGGCUUUUCUCUAUUUGCUUAAUAUGCUGAGGUAUUUAGCUUAAAAGCACUAAAUACUCCAUCACGAUGAGCUGUUCUCUCCCUUUCCCAUUUACUGUUAUUAAGGACGUUUUCCAGUAUUUUCUCUCUCUUUCUGCCCCAAACUCAGAUUGUUUGCUUUUGCUUCUCUCUCUCAUGGCGACUUGCAGGCAUUCUCCACCACAUGCUGCCCGCUUGAUUUUACUCAUUUUUAAUUCAGGGACAAGCAAAGCUCCCCCAAAUCCAGGAGCUGAGCUGCCUCCGUAAAGCACACCUUCCAGCUGCUAUAAGCACGUGUCUGGAAGCUGCACUGCAUUUCGACACAGUAAACAUUUAUUGUGCAUCUACUGUAUACCUGUCACUGUCCUCAGGGCUUCUGGAAAUCCAGAGGUAGACAAAUGAGCUUCCCCUUUCGUACUGCAGAGAAGCUAAAGAGCUAAUAUGACCACGGGUUUUAAGAAUUUGCUUUGCACCCAUGCACUUUUCUUUGUAAUUCUUAAAGCCCUUUGGAGAAGAAGCAGGAGUGGAGGUGGGGAGACAGGAGGGGCGGGGGGGGGGGGGGGGGGGUACAGAGAGGGACCUGGGAUGUGCCAGUGGUGUAGUGGCUUUGUCCAGCCUGCCUUGAGAAGCAAGAGGACAGAUUCUCAGUUUCAUCUCUCCAAGCUGAGAACCUGGCAUAGUGCCUCAGUUUUGGCCGUCUAAUUAAUCUGGCACUCCGUAUCUUUAUUUACACGGUGCUUCCCAGUUCUCAUGAUAUUUCCAUCUCUUGUUUUUCUCAUCUGAAGUAGGAAGGCAUUAUCUCUGUCUUACAGAUAAAAACAUCUGAGACUCGGGCAAAGCACCUUACCAGGGCCACCCAAAGAGUAGGUGGUAAGUGCAAAGGCCCUGGGGGAACCUGGCUCCUCCGCUGCCCACCUGUGCCUUGGCCUCCCUUCUGCUCUGGGCAGCCUCUUCCAGCUGUCAGCCGGCACAAACACACGCUUCGAGAGCAGCGCGGAAAUGGAUAAGGUGACAUUUUCACAGUGAAGUUUUCCCCCCUCCUGCAGAUGGAGAAUGUUGGCGUGUACAGAUUCUGUGGGUGUGCAGCAAAGAGCAAAGUCAAGUGUGAUUCAAGGUGGGAAAUACCAGCUUCAGGUAGGAAACGAACUCAUCUGUGUAAGUACCAAACUGGCGUCGGAAGUAGUUACCCCUGGAAUUUCGUUUGUCUAGAGACGGACUGGGUACAUUUAAAGCUGGUACAGCUAGAUUGAAGCACGCGUAAGAUACUUGCUAAACCACCGCAGAGCGGCUGCUUGUUCAGAGUGCCGGCGAGUGGUAAGAGGUACGAGAGAAAGUAUUUCAGAAGCACCCUCGACUCAGGAAAUGAAAUUGCUUUCGCACGGGAUGGGCCACAGCCGACAUCCACACUCACAAGCCGAGCUCACGGAGCAGGACCUGGCUGGGCACACACCUGUCCCCUCCCUGCCCUGCCCUGCCCUGCUGGCUCUGGGGCCUUGUGUGUGUUCAGGCCUCUACCGAGGCAGGAAGAGAUGUCUCUGGAUCCUUCGGGCUUGUUUAUGCUUUAACGUCUCUCCUCACAGAGGACUGGUCCUCUUCUUCCAUUUUCCCUGGUGCCUCCCUCCAAUUCUGGAGGAAACAAGUGGGCUAUUCAUGUAAAAAGAGAAAGAGUGAGCUGGGGGGGGGGGGGGGGGGGGUGGGGGGAGAUGCCACCGACAAACUCCAUUGAAAACCAGUGGCUGUUCAUUUACAUUCACACUUUUAAAAAAUGUUAACUAAUGAUGUUAAAUGGUUUGCCAAAGGUCCUGGCAGGUCAGUUGUAGAAGUGUCAUUUCUGCCUAAUUAGGGCUCUUGUGGCUGCCCGGGGCCUCCCAGUGCAACUGGUGACAAGCCGAGAGCUGACAGCUUCAAUUGGUGCCAAUAGGAAGGUUGGACCGGUCAUGUUUUCCAACUCAGCCAGGUGUUUGCUGAAUGGGGGAGGGGGCCCGGGGAGAUCUGAGCCCUUCCACGAUCUGUCUUCUUUCACUGCUGCCUGGCAAGUCCUCUCCCUUUGCCUGUCUUGUCUUGUGUCAAGGUCAAGAAUGGGCUUUGCUAAAUCAGCAAUUUGGGUUAUCUCUGGGAGGUCAUUAGCAGCCCUCGGCCCAGACAUUUCAAGUGGUCUCAGGACCCAGAUGCUAGAUUUUUUUCUCCCUGAAAUCAGAGAGUAAGAAGAGGAAAGUUUUAGGUAAAAAAAAAAAAAAAAAAAAAAAUAGUAGGAAGAAAACAAAACAGACCAAAAAAGACUCUGAAAACUCUGCCUAGCUAACAGUGUUAAGCUUCUGAAGACAUUUCAUGAUAAUAAAACUGCCUGAAGACAAAACAGCUAAAGCAUCCUGACCAAUGCUUUAAAUAUUUCAAAGAAGGGAAGACAGUAACGAAAAAGAAAUCCUGUAAUGUGCAAUUGGAUAUAGAGUACCUGUCACAUAGUAGGUGUUCAAUAAAUAACUUCUUGCUCAUUUGAUUUUUCAGGGGAGAAAUUUUUGUCUGAGAAACAAAGCAAUUGAUGGAGAUGUUGCUAUUUUUCACACUUACUUUUUAAAAAAAAUUUAACUUUUUUAUUUAUUUUUGAGAGAAAGAGACAAUGAGAGCCUGAGUAGGCGAGGGACAGGGAGAGAGGGAGACAGAGUCUGAAGCAGACUCCAGGCUCUGAGCUGUCAGCACGCAGCCCGACGUGGGGCUCAAACCCACAAACUAGGAGAUCAUGACUUGAGCUGCAGUCGGACGCUUAACCGACUGAGCCACCCUGGUAUCCCUUUCACACUUUAAUUGUUCCUGCAGUGCUCUUUGAGUUUCUUAGUUGACCCAAAAUACAUGCUAAGUUGGAGUGCCACAUGAGAGGUUGAUAGGAUUAUUAUAUAUAUGUAUAUAUUUUUUUUUACUUUUUUUUUUUUUUUAACAACUUAAGCAAACAACCCCUGGUGCUCAGGAGCUCCAGGCUGCAGCAACCACAGCCCAAAGAGGCACUCAGAUAGUGCAUCUGAGUCCAGAAUUUGGACUUGACCCACUGGCAGGUCCUGUGGGGAUGACGGCACUCCCUGUUUGUGCCUGAAUUGGAUAUACCUGCACUCGAGCACACGAUGCACCGAGCAUGUUUACUGGUCUGAAGGGAAUGGCAGGAUUACUGCAUUUGGGGGGGGGGGUGGUCAAUGCUUGUGAAAUCAAAGGGAAAAAGGGUAUUGCAAGAAGCAAUGUUUGUUUUCGGAAAAUCUUAAGACCAGACCCUUUGAUGUCAGUUUGGGGGGUGGGGGCGGUGGCGUCCAAAGCGAUGGAGGUAUCUG